rnacentral:rRNA from 1 species
UACGUAGGGUGCGAGCGUUAAUCGGAAUUACUGGGCGUAAAGCGUGCGCAGGCGGUUCUCCAAGUCCGUUGUGAAAGCCCCGGGCUCAACCUGGGAAUGGCAGUGGAAACUAGGGGACUGGAAUCUGGCAGAGGGGGGUGGAAUGCCGCGUGUAGCAGUGAAAUGCGUAGAGACCCGGAGGAACACCGGUGGCGAAGGCGGCUUCCUGGUCUGCAACUGACGCUGUGGCACGAAAGCGUGGGGAGCAAACAGG